CCCACACCCAUGUGUAUAGGACCUCAAAGGAUCACCAUUAAAUUUGGCACAGGUCUCUAGAAAACUUAUCACAUGGGUAUGGGACUUGACUUUUCUAGAUAUUUGUGUCAAAUUUAAUAGUGAUCAUUUGGGGUCCUAUACAUAUGGGUGUGGG
rnacentral:pre_miRNA from 1 species